GGACAAUAAUAAUUUGUAUAUAUAUAACAAUCCAAGGCCGUCAGAUGGAGUAUCUGUAUUAUCAUCUGCAUUAGUUUGGCUGAAGAUUCAGACUUAUUUAAUCGCAGAUAAAUCGAUAUCACGAAGAAAAGGUGACACCAUUGUCAAAUUAACCGCAAACCCUAAUUUUACUAUCACUUAUUAAAAUGCGUAUUGGCAAAAAACACAUUGAAAUAUUAGGAAGUUGGAUGCCAUCUGUAAUGGGAUAUGGAACAGCAGCAGGGCUUACUUUUCUUUAUUUUACGGAUUGGAAAGUAAUUAAUCGAUAUAUUCCUUUUUAUGGAGGAAAAUUUGAUGAAUAAAAUGUAUUGUUAUUUAAUAUCUGCUAUAUAGAUGUAAUAAUUGUAUUGCAAAUUUGUGAAGUCAUUUAAUGACGAAGUUAUUUGCUCUAAUAUAUAUACAUGUAUACUAAUACAACAAUGUAUUAUUUAGACUCACUUCUAUAUAUUAUAUUAGCAAAUUCUUCAGAUUCUUUUAGUCUCUUGUUAUUUACAUACGGUAUUAAUUUUAAUCUGUUGAAAAGAAAUGAAUUCAUUAACCAACAUUAAUGGAAUAAAGCAGUGAUAGAUCA